rnacentral:rRNA from 1 species
GACGAACGCUCGGCGGCGUGCCUAAUACAUGCAAGUCGAGCGAAGUUUUUCUGGUGCUUGCACUAGAAAAACUUAGCGGCGAACGGGUGAGUAACACGUAAAGAACCUGCCUCAUAGACUGGGACAACUAUUGGAAACGAUAGCUAAUACCGGAUAACAGCAUUAACUGCAUGGUUGAUGUUUAAAAGUUGGUUUUGCUAACACUAUGAGAUGGCUUUGCGGUGCAUUAGCUAGUUGGUGGGGUAAAGGCCUACCAAGGCGGCGAUGCAUAGCCGACCUGAGAGGGUGAUCGGCCACACUGGGACUGAGACACGGCCCAGACUCCUACGGGAGGCAGCAGUAGGGAAUCUUCCGCAAUGGGCGAAAGCCUGACGGAGCAACGCCGCGUGAGUGAAGAAGGAUUUCGGUUCGUAAAGCUCUGUUGUUAGGGAAGAAUGAUUGUGUAGUAACUAUACACAGAGAGACGGUACCUAACCAG